GGUGGUUCUCAGGUGAUGCACCCCAGAAUCGGGCUCCCUCCUCUCUGGUUCCGGGUGGGUCACCUGAGAACCACA
rfam:Myotis davidii contig8708, whole genome shotgun sequence.